UGGGUAGUCCGCACGAGCGCACCUCAUCUUUAUUGCCAUCAGUACGGCUGGGCACUCUAGAGAAACUGCCUGGGAUGACCAGGAGGAAGGCGAGGAUGACGUCAAGUCCUCAUGGCCCUUAUGGGCUGGGCUACACACGUGCUACAAUGGCGGUGACAAAGGGAAGCAAUAGGGCAACCUGGAGCAAAUCCCAAAAAGCCGUCUCAGUUCGGAUUGUUCUCUGCAACUCGAGAGCAUGAAGUUGGAAUCGCUAGUAAUCGUAGAUCAGCAUGCUACGGUGAAUACGUUCCCGGGCCUUGUACACACCGCCCGUCACACCAUGGGAGUUGGUUUUACCCGAAGACGGUAUCCUAACCUUUUAGGAGGGAGCCGGCCACGGUAGGGUCAGCGACUGGGGUGAAGUCGUAACAAGGUAGCCGUAGGGGAACCUGCGGCUGGAUCACCUCCUUUCU
rnacentral:rRNA from 1 species